ensembl:rRNA 5S_rRNA 5S ribosomal RNA
GUCUACAGCCAUGCCACCCUGAAUAAGCCCUCUCCCGUCUCAUCUCAGAAGGUAAGCAGGGUCAGGCCUGGUUAGUACUUGGAUGGGAGACCACCUAGGAAGAUGAGAUGCUGUAGGCA